CCUACGGGUGGCAGCAGUGGGGAAUAUUGCACAAUGGGGGAAACCCUGAUGCAGCAACGCCGCGUGAAGGAAGACGGUCUUCGGAUUGUAAACUUCUGUUCUCAGUGAAGAAUAAUGACGGUAGCUAAGGAGCAAGCCACGGCUAACUACGUGCCAGCAGCCGCGGCAAUACGUAGGCGGCAAGCGUUGUCCGGAAGUACUGGGUGUAAAGGGAGCGCAGGCGGGAAGCCAAGUCAGGUGUGAAAACUACGGGCUUAACUUGUAUACUGCAGUUGAAACUGGUUUUCUUGAGUGAAAGAGAGGGUGGCGGAAUUCCGGGUGUAGCGGUGAAAUGCGUAGAUAUCCGGAGGAACACCGGUGGCGAAGGCGGCAAGCUGG
rnacentral:rRNA from 1 species